AUUGAACGCUGGCGGCAGGCCUAACACAUGCAAGUCGAGCGGAUGAAGGGAGCUUGCUCCUGGAUUCAGCGGCGGACGGGUGAGUAAUGCCUAUGAAUCUGCCUGGUAGUGGGGGAUAACGUCCUGAAACGGGCGCUAAUACCGCAUACUUCCUGAUGCAGAUAGUGGGGGAUCUUCGGACCUCACGCUAUCAUAUGAGCCUAGUUCGGAGUAGCUAGUUGGUGGGGUAACGGCCUACCAAGGCGACGAUCCGUAACUGGGCUGAGAGGAGGAUCAGUCACACUGGAGCUGAGACACGGUCCAGACACCUACGGGAGGCCGAAGUGCGGAAUAUUGGACGAUGGGCGAAAGACUGAUCCAGCCAUGCAGGGUGUGUGAAGCAGGUCCUCGGAUGGUAAAGCACUUUAAGUUGGGAGGAAGGGCAGUAAGUUAAUACCUGGCUGAUUGGACGUUACCAAUAGAAUAAGCACCGGCUAACUUCGU
rnacentral:rRNA from 1 species